GGAAGCCUGUGCUGGGCCAGGCAGGGACCCUGGCAGUGGGCACCGAGGGCGGCCUGCGGGGCAGCGCCUGGUUCUUGCUACAGAUCAGCCCCAACAGUCGGCUUAGCCAGGAGGUUGUGCUGGACGUUGGCUGCCCCUAUGUCCGCUUCCACACCGAGGUACACUGGCAUGAGGCCCACAAGUUCCUGAAGGUGGAGUUUCCUGCUCGCGUGCGGAGUUCCCAGGCCACCUACGAGAUCCAGUUUGGGCACCUGCAGCGACCUACCCACUACAAUACCUCUUGGGACUGGGCUCGAUUUGAGGUCUGACAUGGCAGGGUGGGGGUGGCCUUGGACUCCUCCCUGGCUGGGGAGACUGCUUGUGUGGAACAGGCUGGGGAGGAAGAGGAUAAUCAACAUUUGCUGCUUCCUAAUGUGUGUGCCAGGCAUUGUACUAAAUGCUUUACAUUGGCCAGGCA
rnacentral:sRNA from 1 species